UACGGAGGGUGCAAGCGUUGUUCGGAAUUAUUGGGCGUAAAGGGCAGGUAGGUGGUCCCAAAAGUCUACUGUGAAAUCCCUGGGCUUAACUCGGGAAGUGCGGUAGAUACUCUGGGACUAGAGUGCUGGAGGGGUUCGUGGAAUUCCCGGUGUAGCGGUGAAAUGCGCAGAUAUCAGGAAGAACACCCGUGGCGAAGGCGGCUCUCUGGGACGGUACUGACGCUGAGACGCGAAAGCGUGGGGAGCGAACAGG
rnacentral:rRNA from 1 species